UGAAAUACCACCCUUUAAUGUUUGAUGUUCUAACGUUGACCCGUGAUCCGGGUUGCGGACAGUGUCUGGUGGGUAGUUUGACUGGGGCGGUCUCCUCCUAAAGAGUAACGGAGGAGCACGAAGGUUGGCUAAUCCUGGUCGGACAUCAGGAGGUUAGUGCAAUGGCAUAAGCCAGCUUGACUGCGAGCGUGACGGCGCGAGCAGGUGCGAAAGCAGGUCAUAGUGAUCCGGUGGUUCUGAAUGGAAGGGCCAUCGCUCAACGGAUAAAAGGUACUCCGGGGAUAACAGGCUGAUACCGCCCAAGAGUUCAUAUCGACGGCGGUGUUUGGCACCUCGAUGUCGGCUCAUCACAUCCUGGGGCUGAAGUAGGUCCCAAGGGUAUGGCUGUUCGCCAUUUAAAGUGGUACGCGAGCUGGGUUUAGAACGUCGUGAGACAGUUCGGUCCCUAUCUGCCGUGGGCGCUGGAGAACUGAGGGGGGCUGCUCCUAGUACGAGAGGACCGGAGUGGACGCAUCACUGGUGUUCGGG
rnacentral:rRNA from 1 species